AACGAGUUUAAUUCGUGGUUGGAUAAAACCGGUUAUCUAAAAUCAAACUAUAACCGAAAAUGGUGACAAGAAACCACAGGGGGACUUAACGGACGUUAAAAGUAGAAGAAAGGUUGACGUUGGAAAUAAAAGUUUCAACCUCAAACGGCACUCUUUAGCUGAUGCGUUGACCAUUGUACACGUCGGCAAAUCAGAGGUCCUCAAUGAUUAUGGACCGUCGGAUCAUUAAGAUAACUCAUUCUGGUUUUUUUUUUUACUGUAGUUUCUUAAGCGAGAACAGUCCGAAUUGGCCCAUAAUUUAAAGCCCAAAGGCCGAGAUAUAAUUAAUCAGUCGAGGUUUUUGGGUAAGAAGAAGAUAUAGAAAAUUACAAUUCG
rnacentral:sRNA from 1 species